UGCCAGCAGCCGCGGUAAUUCCAGCUCCAAUAGCGUAUAUUAAAGUUGUUGCAGUUAAAAGCUCGUAGUUGAAUUUCGGGAUCAACACGUCGUCGUGCCUCCGGUACGUACUGGCGUCGUUGAUUUCUCCUUUCUGAUGAGCCAUGAUGUCAUUAAUUGGUGUGUGGGAGUCAGGACUGUUACUUGAAAAAUUAGAGUGUUUAAAGCAGGCAAACGCCUGAAUACAUUAGCAUGGAAUAAUGAAAUAGGACGUUCGAACCUAUUUUAGUUGGUUUCUAGGAUCAACGUAAUGAUUAAUAGGGAUAUUGGGGGCAUUAGUAUUCAAUUGUCAGAGGUGAAAUUCUUGGAUUUAUUGAAGACUGACUACUGCGAAAGCAUUUGCCAAGGAUGUUUUCAUUAAUCAAGAACGAAAGUUAGGGGAUCGAAGACGAUCAGAUACCGUCGUAGUCUUAACCAUAAACUAUGCCGACUAGGGAUCGGAUGAAGUUAAUUUUUUUAAUGACUCAUUCGGCGCCUUACG
rnacentral:rRNA from 1 species